rnacentral:rRNA from 1 species
GAGUUUGAUCAUGGCUCAGAUUGAACGCUGGCGGCAGGCCUAACACAUGCAAGUCGAACGGUAACAGGAAACAGCUUGCUGUUUCGCUGACGAGUGGCGGACGGGUGAGUAAUGUCUGGGAAACUGCCUGAUGGAGGGGGGUAACUACUGGAAACGGUAGCUAAUACCGCAUAACGUCGCAAGACCAAAGAGGGGGACCUUCGGGCCGUCUUGCCAUCGGAUGUGCCCAGAUGGGAGUUAGCUAGUAGGUGGGGUAACGGCUCACCUAGGCGACGAUCCCUAGCUGGUCUGAGAGGAUGACCAGCCACACUGGAACUGAGACACGGUCCAGAC